ACCUCCUACCGUACGCACGCGGCACAGCGAGUCUUUGGCAGACAGGCGUCUUUGGCAGACCUGACGUUGGCCGGUUGCGGUUGCAAAGAGACUUCUCCCGUUUGUUUGUUUUCUCUUUACCCAGUUCCAUUCGCGCGACAAAACCGUCCGCAGCCCUCUCAAGCGAGCAGCAGCAGAAACGAAAGCCCCAGUCCAGGCAGUGUUUGGUUCGAUUCUAUUGCUGGCACGAAGUGUUUCCAAGAGUAGGGAGCGAGAAGACGUACAAAAUAGAAGAAAAAAAACAGCUGAAUGAGCAGUGAGUUUGUGAACGCGCACGCUUCAAACCCUCAGAUCAAAUCGCGCUAACCGUUUGGUGUGUUCGCGGCAGUGUUCUUACCCAUUACCACCGCCAAAGUGAAAGCUGAUCCAGAUUGUCCAGAUUUCAGCUGCUAGUGUUGGUGUGUGUGUUUGUAUGUGUGUGUGUGUGUGUGCGCACGCGCAUGUGUCUUUAGUCACGCAACGCAACGCAAGUGAAGUGACGAGGUGAAAAGUGGGAAAGAGAUCGUGCGCACGGUUCCGAAAAAGCGGGCCACGCAAAGGCCGAUAGAUAGUUGACAGCUUCAGCGAUCUUCAGGCGCAAAAAGUUGGCUCUGCACAGGUGUGAAUUUUGUGUCGGUGUGUGUAUGUGCGAUUAAGUUUAGAGCGUGUGGUGUGGUUUGAGUGUUUGAGAGCGCCAGUGUUUGCAGCGGCAGCCUUAAGGGCAGGUGCGGCAGCCAUACAGUACACGGAAAAGUGAGAGCGAAGGUGCUUUCUUUUCGAAGUGGCGAAGUGUCAAAAGCCCGCAGCGUGUUAUAAUUGUUCACUUUCCACCCCAACCCUUUCCUUUUCCCUUCUCCCUUCUCGUGCUCAACGGUUUGCUUGUGUGGUAGAGCCAUUCUAGCGCAUUGGUGAUUGUGAUUCGGUUCGGUUGCGCCGUGCUGCUGCGGUUUUGAGUACACGCGAUAGUUCGCGCAUUGGCACCGAAAAGUGAAAAAUACUACACGCUGGUGUGAAAACGGAAGCAAAUCCACUCAGCGCUUUAACGGCGCUGUCCCACUGAACUGGUGCAAGGUGCAGUAAAACAUUAAGUAGCAGCAGCAGCAGCAGCAACGUGUAGGAGACCGUAUAGAGAGUGCAAGAGAGCGAGGAAAGAAACAACAACAUUGUCUUCACCUCGAAAACAAAACCGUAAGUGUCUCCAUACCAUUCGGGAAGCGAAAGUUUGACGCAAUCUAUCACUCGGGAGCGGCCGGACGGACGGAAGCACAUCACGCGACAUCCCGUCAUCGUGUUAAGUG